rnacentral:rRNA from 1 species
GACGAACGCUGGCGGCGCGCUUAACACAUGCAAGUCGAGCGAUGAAAUUUCGACAGCUUCCUUCGGGGUGAAGAUGAAAUGGAUUAGCGGCGGACGGGUGAGUAACACGUGAGUAACCUGCCUUUGACAUUGGGAUAGCCUCGGGAAACUGGGAUUAAUACCAAAUGACACUAACUGAUCACAUGAUCAAUUAGUCAAAGAAAUUCGGUCAAAGAUGGACUCGCGGCUGAUUAGCUAGUUGGUGAGGUAACGGCCCACCAAGGCGACGAUCAGUAGCCGGCAUGAGAGGGUGAUCGGCCACAUUGGAACUGAGACACGGUCCAGACUCCUACAGGAGGCAGCAGUGGGGAAUAUUGCACAAUGGGGGAAACCAUGAUGCAGCGACGCCGCGUGAGCGAAGAAGGCCUUCGGGUCGUAAAGCUCUUUUAUGAGGGAAGAUAAUGACGGUACCUCAAGAAAAAGCCCCGGCUAACUACGUG